GUGGGGAAUAUUGGACAAUGGGCGAAAGCCUGAUCCAGCAAUGCCGCGUGAGUGAUGAAGGCCUUAGGGUUGUAAAGCUCUUUUACCAGGGAUGAUAAUGACAGUACCUGGAGAAUAAGCUCCGGCUAACUCCGUGCCAGCAGCCGCGGUAAUACGGAGGGAGCUAGCGUUGUUCGGAAUUACUGGGCGUAAAGCGCACGUAGGCGGUUACUCAAGUCAGAGGUGAAAGCCCGGGGCUCAACCCCGGAACUGCCUUUGAAACUAGGUAACUAGAAUCUUGGAGAGGUCAGUGGAAUUCCGAGUGUAGAGGUGAAAUUCGUAGAUAUUCGGAAGAACACCAGUGGCGAAGGCGACUGACUGGACAAGUAUUGACGCUGAGGUGCGAAAGCGUGGGGAGCAAACAGGAUUAGAAACCCCGGUAGUCC
rnacentral:rRNA from 1 species